rnacentral:rRNA from 1 species
AGAGUUUGAUCAUGGCUCAGAUUGAACGCUGGCGGCAGGCCUAACACAUGCAAGUCGAGCGGUAGAGAGAAGCUUGCUUCUCUUGAGAGCGGCGGACGGGUGAGUAAUGCCUAGGAAUCUGCCUGGUAGUGGGGGAUAACGCUCGGAAACGUACGCUAAUACCGCAUACGUCCUACGGGAGAAAGCAGGGGACCUUCUGGCCUUGCGCUAUCAGAUGAGCCUAGGUCGGAUUAGCUAGUUGGUGAGGUAAUGGCUCACCAAGGCGACGAUCCGUAACUGGUCUGAGAGGAUGAUCAGUCACACUGGAACUGAGACACGGUCCAGACUCCUACGGGAGGCAGCAGUGGGGAAUAUUGGACAAUGGGCGAAAGCCUGAUCCAGCCAUGCCGCGUGUGUGAAGAAGGUCUUCGGAUUGUAAAGCACUUUAAGUUGGGAGGAAGGGCAUUAACCUAAUACGUUAGUGUUUUGACGUUACCGACAGAAUAAGCACCGGCUAACUCUGUGCCAGCAGCCGCGGUAAUACAGAGGGUGCAAGCGUUAAUCGGAAUUACUGGGCGUAAAGCGCGCGUAGGUGGUUCGUUAAGUUGGAUGUGAAAUCCCCGGGCUCAACCUGGGAACUGCAUUCAAAACUGACGAGCUAGAGUAUGGUAGAGGGUGGUGGAAUUUCCUGUGUAGCGGUGAAAUGCGUAGAUAUAGGAAGGAACACCAGUGGCGAAGGCGACCACCUGGACUGAUACUGACACUGAGGUGCGAAAGCGUGGGGAGCAAACAGGAUUAGAUACCCUGGUAGUCCACGCCGUAAACGAUGUCAACUAGCCGUUGGGAGCCUUGAGCUCUUAGUGGCGCAGCUAACGCAUUAAGUUGACCGCCUGGGGAGUACGGCCGCAAGGUUAAAACUCAAAUGAAUUGACGGGGGCCCGCACAAGCGGUGGAGCAUGUGGCUUAAUUCGAAGCAACGCGAAGAACCUUACCAGGCCUUGACAUCCAAUGAACUUUCCAGAGAUGGAUUGGUGCCUUCGGGAACAUUGAGACAGGUGCUGCAUGGCUGUCGUCAGCUCGUGUCGUGAGAUGUUGGGUUAAGUCCCGUAACGAGCGCAACCCUUGUCCUUAGUUACCAGCACGUAAUGGUGGGCACUCUAAGGAGACUGCCGGUGACAAACCGGAGGAAGGUGGGGUUGACGUCAAGUCAUCAUGGCCCUUACGGCCUGGGCUACACACGUGCUACAAUGAUCGGUACAGAGGGUUGCCAAGCCGCGAGGUGGAGCUAAUCCCACAAAACCGAUCGUAGUCCGGAUCGCAGUCUGCAACUCGACUGCGUGAAGUCGGAAUCGCUAGUAAUCGCGAAUCAGAAUGUCGCGGUGAAUACGUUCCCGGGCCUUGUACACACCGCCCGUCACACCAUGGGAGUGGGUUGCACCAGAAGUAGCUAGUCUAACCUUCGGGAGGACGGUUACCACGGUGUGAUUCAUGACUGGGGUGAAGUCGUAACAAGGUA